GUUGAGCCGACGGUAGUACCCAUGGGCCGGAGCCCACAGGUCUGUCUGUAAGCAGAAAGUCAUUACUGUCCUGUGAGAAGGCUUCCACAAGGCCUUGGUUGCAAAGCCAGCAGGGCCAGGGAACUGCCUGGGGCAUGCAUAUGUUGGCUCGUUUCUGCUUGAGCCCUGUGGACAAGUGGUGCCCACAGCCUGGGUGCUGGUGAUAAACUGAGGCUUGUGCCCAGGGUUUUGGAAACUGGCAUGGCCACAGGUAGCAAGCAGGCAUCCUCAGGGAACACCCUAAGCCUUUGCCUGGGUCCCCUCAGGUCUAGCCUGGGGCUACUUACCCACAGAUGCCAUGUGCAGGCCCGCACAGAGCCAGUAGGAUGAGGAUGCUCAGCAAAAUCAUUGUGGUCAGAGACACAAGUCAGCUGCAAGGAGAGAGGGCUUGUCACCUCCAGUGCAGCUGCCAACCUAGUGCCCACAGAAUUUGCAGUGCCACAGUGCCCUUGACCCCAGAGCUGAUGUCACAGAGGGACUGGUUCUAUGUUCUGGGCAUGGUGCUGGCCUCUGGAGGCAGGGGGGAAGGGCAACGUAGAGCCAUAGAGCCCCAGAAGGGUCUGGAUUGGAAAGUACCUUAAGGAUCGACUAGUUUCCAACCACAGCCAUGCACAUGGAUGCUUUCCACUACACCAGGCUGCUCAGAGUCCCAUCCAAGCUGGCCUCAAAUGGGAGGACCAAUGAGAUGGAAGGUUCCUGCCCAGAUAUCCAGAGUCCAGUUUCAAGUUCCCUGGUGUGCUGUACAGCACACACACAGAAGGAUCAGAUGUCAGCAGCCUAAGACACUGCAUGUCCAGCUGCUGUCCCCAAGACCUGGAAGCCCCGAGGACCUACAUUCCCUUAUUACACUGCACUUGCCAUCCUCUCUACGUGGGGAGCUCCAGCCCUUUGGAGGGACCCUUUUCCUUUGGGCCUGACCUGCCUGCCCACAGCUGCAUUUUGCAAAUCCCAGCUCAGGCAGGUCUUGGCUCCCACAGCAGAAUGAAUGGGACUGCACACAUGGCUAUCUGUGAAAAUCUGCCAUAUUUCUAUAGCAACUAAGUCACCAUCAGCCAUUGAGCAAAUGUGGAGAAGGAGUGUGGGCAGGACAGAUUGGGCCUUUGGCACUAAGGCUACCUUUGAAUCAGCAGGCACUGCCCCAGAAGGAGAGAGUUACAGUCCACUGCAGCCUGAACUGCAGCAAAUCAACCCUCCCUAGCAUGCCUUAGGCUCCAAGCUGCCCACCUUCGGGCUGCAGUUUGACUUGAGUGUGAGAUGAGGCUGGGUUUUUGUUUCUUUGAACUCAGUAAAUCUGGUAAUCCCCUUCCCCUGCCCUGGUUACGGGGAAAAAAAGAAAUAAAAAUAUUUACUUCA